rnacentral:rRNA from 1 species
AUUAUUGCACAAUGGGCGAAAGCCUGAUGCAGCAACGCCGCGUGAGGUAUUAUGGACUUCGGGUCGUAAAGCACUUUGAUCAGGGAUGUUAAUGACAGUACCAGAAAAACAAGCCACGCCUAACUACGUUCCAUAAGCCGCGGUAAUACGCAGGUGGCGAGCAUUGUCCGGAAUUAAUGGGCGUAAAGGAUGCGUAGGUGGAUAUUUAAGUGGGAUGUGAAAUCCCCGGGCUCAACCCGGGAACUGCAUUCCAAACUGGGUAUCUAGAGUGCAGGAGAGGAAAGCGGAAUUCCUAGUGUAGCGGUGAAAUGCGUAGAUAUUAGGAGGAACACCAGUGGCGAAGGCGGCUUUCUGGACUGUAACUGACACUGAGGCAUGAAAGCGUGGGUAGCAAACAGG